CCUACGGGUGGCAGCAGUGAGGAAUAUUGGUCAAUGGACGCAAGUCUGAACCAGCCAAGCCGCGUGCAGGAUGACGGCCCUACGAGUUGUAAACUGCUUUUGUACGAGGGUAAACGGAGAUACGUGUAUCUCUUUGAAUGUAUCGUAUGAGUAAGGAGCGGCUAACUCCGUGCCAGCAGCCGCGGUAAUACGGAGGAUUCAAGCGUUAUCCGGAUUUAUUGGGGUUAAAGGGUGCGUAGGCGGUCGGUUAAGUGAGAGGUGAAAUACCGAGGCUCAACGUCGGAAUUGCCUCUGAUACUGUUCGGCUAGAGAGUAGUUGCGGUAGGCGGAAUGUAUGGUGUAGCGGUGAAAUGCUUAGAGAUCAUACAGAACACCGAUUGCGAAGGCAGCUUACCAAGCUACUUCUGACGUUGAGGCACGAAAGCGUGGGGAGCAAACAGGAUUAGAUACCCCAGUAGUC
rnacentral:rRNA from 1 species